rnacentral:lncRNA from 1 species
UGAAUUCCAACCAAUCAUUUCCCUACAAAAGAGGCACUUAAUAAUUAAGCUAUCAUGAAUGUUGCAUAAUCUCAGUACCUCGUUGUAGAAAGGGCAUUCUCGUAUGGCAUGUAAAAUGUUCUCUCUCAGAUCACCACAUCUCCUGUACACAGGGUUAUUUGUGAAGAAAGAUUGGCUCAUUUAACAGUCGUAGGAAGGAUCUGAUGGCCAAGUCUCGAUCCAAAUAUCCUGAUCUUGG